GCUCAGAUUACCUUUCUUAUCUGUUGGUGAUUAGGAGUGGCUGCAAAGACAGUGAUUUGGCCCCUGAUGACCUGAGAACAAUACGGAUGUCCCUUUAUGGACUGAUCAAAUACUUUCUAAGCAAAGGUGGAACACAUGAAGAAAUACAGAGCAUUGUAGGAUACAUAGCAGCUACCAGUGAAGAAGAACAGCUCUGUGGAAUCCUAGAAGUUCUGUUCAGCCUUCUUCAUUCAAGCUCAGCCCCAGAUCAGCUUUUUUUAUUGCUUUUUGAACCAGGAAAUGCUGAUAUUCUUUAUGCUUUGUUAUUGCAUCAGAGAUACUCCGACAGGGUUAGAGAACUUGUGUUUAAGAUUAUGGAAGAGAUGCUGAAAUGUACUAAAGUUUAUGAACGUAGUAAGCACCGCAUGAGACUCAGGGAAGUGGGGUACUCUGGACUUGGACUCCUUCUGAAUGAAUCGUCAGUUACUAUUUCUCUCAUAAAAAACCUUCUUAACCAAGUUCUCUAUGC
rnacentral:lncRNA from 1 species